GUUGUGGGGGUGCCUUGGGGCUGAGAAGAUUUAAACAUCUAACUCUAAUAACCUGAUCCAGAUAAUACUGGCGUAGGGAAGCAACUU
rnacentral:ncRNA from 1 species